rnacentral:rRNA from 1 species
CCUACGGGAGGCCGCAGUGGGGAAUAUUGCACAAUGGGGGAAACCCUGAUGCAGCGACGCCGCGUGAGUGAAGAAGUAAUUCGGUAUGUAAAGCUCUAUCAGCAGGGAAGAAAAUGACGGUACCUGAGUAAGAAGCCCCGGCUAACUACGUGCCAGCAGCCGCGGUAAUACGUAGGGGGCAAGCGUUAUCCGGAUUUACUGGGUGUAAAGGGAGCGUAGACGGCAGUGCAAGUCUGGAGUGAAAGGCGGGGGCUCAACCACGGGACUGCUCUGGAAACUGUGCGGCUGGAGUGCAGGAGAGGUAAGUGGAAUUCCUAGUGUAGCGGUGAAAUGCGUAGAGAGUAGGAGGAACACCAGUGGCGAAGGCGGCUUACUGGACUGUAACUGACGUUGAGGCUCGAAAGCGUGGGGAGCAAACAGGAUUAGAUACCCGAGUAGUC